GGCGACCCAGGUCAGGCGGGAACACCCGCUGAUUUAAAGCAUAUCAAAAGGCGGAGGAAAAAAGAACUUACAGGAUUCCCCUAGUAACGGCGAGCGAACCGGGAAGAGCCAGCUUGAGAAUCGGGCGCCCUCGGCGUCCGAAUUGUAGUCUGGAAAGCGUCCCCCAGCGGCGGACCGGGCCCGAAAGUCCCCUGGAAGGGGGCGCCGGGAAGAGGGUGAGAGCCCCGUCGUGCCCGACCACUGUCGCCACCACGAGGCGCUGUCUGCGAGUCCGGUUGUUUGGGAAUGCAGCCCAAUCGGCGGUAAAUUCCGUCCAAGGCUUAAAUACGGUGGCGAGGACCGAAAGCGAACAAAGUACCCCCGCGAGGAAAGAUGAAAAGGACUUUGAAAAGAGGGGAGUCAAAAGAGUGGCUUUGAAUUGUCGGGAGGGGAAAGGCGGAUGGGGGCCGGCGAUGCGCCCGGUCGGCAUGUGGAAACGGCGACAAGCCGGUCCGCCGAUCGUUGCUCGGGGCGCGACCGACGCGGAUCGCGGCGGCGGCCCAGCCCGGGCAAUGAGACGGCCCGCGGAGACGUGGUACGACGCCGUCGCGCGAUCGUGGACAUCAAAGCGCCGCAGCCGUCACGGCGUGCCCCCGGCACCGCCGCGCUCCUGCGUCGCCAGCGGGCCUCCCCAUUCGGCCCGUCUUGAAACACGGACCAAAGGAGGUCUGACGAUGUGUGCGAGCUCAACAGCGGGCGAGUAAACCGUAAGGCGCAAGGGAAGUGACUGGCGGGAUCCCCUCCGAGGGUUUGCACCGCGCCGACCGACCGUCAGAUCUUCUGACGAAGAGGUUCGAGUGAGAAGCAUGCCUGUCGGGAAACCCGAACAGAUGGGUGAACCUAUGCCUGACGGGCGAAGACCAGAGGAAACUCUGGUGGAGGCCGCGCAGCGAUACUUUGACGUUGCAAUCGUCAUACCUGACUUGGGUAUAGGGGCGAAAAAGACUAACGAACCCGUCUAGUAGCUGGUUCCCUCCGAAGUUUCCCUCAGGAAGUAGCUGGAGCCUCGGACGAAGUUUCUAUCGGUAAAGCAAGUUAGGCCAUCGGGGGCGACGCCCUCAGACCUAUUCUCAAACUUUAAAUAGUAGGCACGGCGCGGCUGCUAUCGGAUGAGCGGCGCCAGCGGAAUCGAGAGCUCCAGUGGGCCAUUUUUGGUAAGACAGAACUGGCGAUUCUGCGGGAUGAACGCGGAAGCCGGGUUACGGUGGCGCCAACUGCGGCGCUAACCCAGAACCCACAAAAGGGGUUGGGUCGAAUUAAAGAAGCAGGACGGUGGUCAUGGAAUAGUCGAAAUCCGCUAAGGGAGUGUGUAACAACUCACCUGCCGAAUCAACUAGCCCCGAAAAUGAUGGCGCUUAAGCGCCGCGACUAAUACCCAGGCCACGUCGGGGCAGAAGCCAGGCCGCCGAUGAAGUUAGGAAAGGGCGCGGCGGCCGCUGCAAAACCCGGGGCGCGAGCCCGGCGGAGCGGACGUUCGGUGCAGAUCUGGUGGUAGUAGCAAAUAUUCAAAAUGAGAACUUUGAAGGCACGAAGAGGGGAAAGGUUCCAUGUGAACGGCACUUGCACAUGGGUUAAGUCGAUCCUAAAAGAGACGGGGAGCCCGGUCCGACAAGCGCGUCCGCGCGCUGGACCUUCGAAAGGGAAAUCGGGUUAAAAUUCCCAGAACCGGGACGCGGCGGCUGACGGCACCACACCACCUAGGGUUAGUCCGGAGAACGAUCGCGGGGCCGGGAAGAGUUAUCUUUCUUGUUUUAACAAGCACCGCCCACCCUGGAAACGACUCAGUCCCGGAGGUAGGGUCCAGCGGCCGGAAAGAGCACGCACGUCGCGCGGUGUCCGGUGCGCCCGCCGGCGGCGCGUGAAAAUCCGGAGGACCGAGUGCCUCCCGCGCCGGUCGUACCUCAUAACCGCAUUCAGGUCUCUCAAGGUGAAACACCUCUGGCCAAUGGAGCAAAUGUGGCAAGGGAGUCGGACAAAAACGGAUCCGUAACCUCGGAAAAGGGAUUGGCUCUGAGGGCUGGCCGGGGCCCCCAGUCCCGAACCCGUCGGCUGUCGCGACUGCUCGAGCUGCUCCCCGCGGCGAAGAGCGGUCGCGCGUCCGGCCGUGGGACGGACUGGGGAACGACCCCCCCGCCCCUCCGGGGGCCUUCCCCGGGCGUCGAAACAGUCCGCUCAGAACUGGUACGGACAAGGGGAACCGACUGUUUAAUUAAAAAAAAGCAUUGGAUGGUCCCUGCGGAUCUCACGCAAUGGUGUUUCCUGGCCAGUGGCUCUAAUCAGUCAAAGUGAAGAAAUUUCAACCAAGCGCGGCGUUAAGCGGCGGGAGUAACUAUGACUCUCUUAAGGUAGCCAAAUGCCCUCGUCAUCUAAUUAGUGACGCGCAUGAAAUGGAUUAACGAGAUCCCACUCGUCCCUGUCUACUAUCACAGCGAAACCACAGCCAAGGAACAGGGCUUGGCGGAAUCUAGCGGGGAACAGAAGACCCUGUGAAGCUUGACUCUAGUCCCGACUUUGUGAAUGACUUUGAGAGGUGUAGGAUAAGUGGGAGCCGGAAACGGCGACCGGUGGGAAGAUACCACUCACUUUUUAACGUUAUUUUACUUAUUCCGGAAUCGUAGGCGGGGGCCUCGGCCCCCUUUUUGGACGCAAGGCCGCCACGGCGGCGCCGAUCCGGGCGGAAGACAUUGUCAGGUGGGGAGUUUGGCUUGGGCGGCACAUCUUGUAAAAGAUAACGCAGUGUCCUAAGAUGAGCUCACGAGAAACAGAAAUCUCGUGUGAAACAAAGGGUAAAAGCUCGUUUGAUUUCUGAUUUCAAUACAAUACGGAACCGUGAAAGCGUGGCCUAUCGAUCCUUUAGACCUUCGGAAUUUGAAGCUAGAGGUGUCAGAAAAGUUACGCAAACAGGGAUAACUGGCUUGUGCAGCCAAAAGCGUUCAUUGAGCGACAGUUGCUUUUUUGAAUCCUUCGAUGUCGGCUCUUCUUCAUUGUGAAGCAGAAUUCCACCAGAGUGUUGAUUGUUCACCCACCAAUAGGGAACGUGAAGCCUGGGUUUAGAACCGUCGUGAGAACAGGUUUUUAGUUUUACCCUACUGAUGACCGCGUCAGCGAUGGGUAAUUCAACCUAGUACGAGAGGACCGUUGAUUCGCACAACAAUUGGUCAUCGCGGCUUGGUUGAAAAGCCAGGGCGCGAAAAGCUACCGUGCGCUGGAAUUAUGACUGAACGCCUCUAAGUCAAGAAUCCCGGGCCAGAAGCGACCCCAGUGUCCGGCGCCCGCUUGCCGACGCCGCAGUAGGGGCCCUCGCGGCCCCCAGAGGCACUGCCGUUGGCCUAAGCCCCCGCGGCGACGAGCCGCGCGGCCGCCUUGAAGUACUAUUCCCGACGGGCGUCGGGCAGAAAUCCUUUGCAAGACGACUUAAAUACGCGACGGGGGUAUUGUAAGUGCAGAGUGGCCUUGGCUGCCACGAUCCACUGAGAUUCAGUCCCUUUGUCGCUCCGUUCGUC
rnacentral:rRNA from 1 species